UGCGCCUUGCCAGCCCGCUCAGAAACUUAAAGGAAUUGACGGGGGCCCGCACAAGCGGCGGAGCAUGUGGAUUAAUUCGAUGCAACGCGAAGAACCUUACCUGGGUUUGACAUACACCGGAAAACCGUAGAGAUACGGUCCCCCUUGUGGUCGGUGUACAGGUGGUGCAUGGCUGUCGUCAGCUCGUGUCGUGAGAUGUUGGGUUAAGUCCCGCAACGAGCGCAACCCUUGUCUUAUGUUGCCAGCACGUAAUGGUGGGGACUCGUAAGAGACUGCCGGGGUCAACUCGGAGGAAGGUGGGGACGACGUCAAGUCAUCAUGCCCCUUAUGUCCAGGGCUUCACACAUGCUACAAUGGCCAGUACAGAGGGCUGCGAGACCGUGAGGUGGAGCGAAUCCCUUAAAGCUGGUCUCAGUUCGGAUCGGGGUCUGCAACUCGACCCCGUGAAGUCGGAGUCGCUAGUAAUCGCAGAUCAGCAACGCUGCGGUGAAUACGUUCCCGGGCCUU
rnacentral:rRNA from 1 species